rnacentral:lncRNA from 1 species
CCAGCCUCUACUAGUCUCUAGUCUUUUUUUUUUUUUUUUUCUGAGACAGAGUCUUGCUCUGUCACCAGGCUGGAGUGCAGUGGUGCGAUCUCGGCUCACUGCAACCUCCACCUCCCGGGUUCAAGCAAUUCUCCUGCCUCAGCCUCCCAAGUAGCUGGGACUACAGGCGCACGCCACCACACCUAGCUAAUUUUUGUAUUUUUAGUAGAGAUGAGGUUUCACCAUGUUGGCCAGGAUGGUCUCAGUCUCUUGACCUUGUGAUCCACCCACCUCGGCCUCCCAAAGUGCUGGGAUUACAGGCAUGAGCCACCGUGCCCAGCCAACCUCCGCUCUAGUCUCUUACGGUGCUAAUCACAAGCUGCCUUUGUAUUAUGGUUAUCUGAGGUCAAGUCUCCUCUCCACUUCAGAAUAAAAGUUUCUAGGGGGCAGGGACAACAUUUUUCUGUUGCCAUCUGACAUGGUUUGGCUGUGUCCCCACCCAAAUCUCACUUUGAAUUGUAAUAAUGCCCACGUGUCAAGGGCAGGGCCAGGUGGAGAUAGUUGAAUCAUGGGGGUGGUUUCCCCCAUACUGUUCUCGUGAUAGUAAAUAAGUCUCACGAAGUCUGAUGGUUUUAGAAGUGGGAGUUCCCCUGCACAAGUUCUCUUGCCUGCCACCAUGUAAGAUGUCAUUUUGCUCCUCCUUUGCCUUCUGCCAUGAUUGUAAAGCCUCCCCAGCCAUGUGGAACUGUGACUCCAUUAAAUCUCUUUCCUUUAUGAAUUACCCAGUCUUGGGCAUCUCUUUAUUAGCAGUGUGAGAACAGACUGAUACACUAUUACUUACAACAGGCACAUAGAAAUGAACAGAUAUCUGAAGAAAGACAGGAAGAAUGAGGUAGGUAAGAGGGCGGAGGGUGUGGGUGGAAGAGACAUGCACAGAGGAACUGAGGACGCCGAGUCAGAAAGAUGAAGAGGUUCAGAGAUGGAAGAGAAAGCAGGCAAGAGAGCCCCCAGCAGAAUAUCCCCAGUGCAGAGAUG